AGAGUUUGAUCCUGGCUCAGAGCGAACGCUGGCGGCAGGCUUAACACAUGCAAGUCGAGCGGGCGUAGCAAUACGUCAGCGGCAGACGGGUGAGUAACGCGUGGGAACGUACCUUUUGGUUCGGAACAACACAGGGAAACUUGUGCUAAUACCGGAUAAGCCCUUACGGGGAAAGAUUUAUCGCCGAAAGAUCGGCCCGCGUCUGAUUAGCUAGUUGGUGAGGUAAUGGCUCACCAAGGCGACGAUCAGUAGCUGGUCUGAGAGGAUGAUCAGCCACAUUGGGACUGAGACACGGCCCAAACUCCUACGGGAGGCAGCAGUGGGGAAUAUUGGACAAUGGGCGCAAGCCUGAUCCAGCCAUGCCGCGUGAGUGAUGAAGGCCCUAGGGUUGUAAAGCUCUUUUGUGCG
rnacentral:rRNA from 1 species